rnacentral:lncRNA from 1 species
ACACACAUGCCACUGGCAGAGAUGCGCCUGGGCAUCCGUUCAGAGGCCCGCAGCAGCAUCUCCAGGCAGCAGCAGCUGGUUCUGUCCUCCGUGUUGCGUCUGUCCUGCUGCCUUUGAUUCUGCUCUGCACAUCGCUCAGUAGCUACCUUGUUGGCAGCCCACCGUGUGGCGGGCACCGGGUCAGCCUGCCCUCUUUUACUUGAAUAGCCCUGUGUUUCAUUGCCUGCGUGGGUGAGGAAACCAGGACUCCGGCUUGUGAUGGCUUGUUCCUGGCAGCUGUGCCGCGGAGCCCUCCUGACCCCACCCCCACCGCGCCCUCCCCUGUGGGCCGCAGUUGCUGUGCCAGUGCUUGCCAUCGUCCUGGGUUUUCACUGGAGACCGCCUGGGCCGACUUUCAAACAAGCAGAGACUUGGAAGCAGUGCAACCCAUACUCCUCUUCCUCUGGUGGGGCAGGAUUUUUUCUUGUGAAUGGGACCCUUUAUUUUCAUCGUCCAUAAAUCACAAAGCUUACAAGGGGAGCUGACAUGUGAUCAUGUAAUGUGGACAUGUUGCCCUUUGGAUGGUUUGGCACCAGGAAGCUCAGACCCCAAAGUGCUGAGCUGUGAACCAACUGAACAUCCCUCCCUCUCUCAUCACUUAGAAGAAGCCCACAAGGCAGGUGCCAUCAGGUUCCCAUUUUCCAGAAAGAUGUGGUCCCCAGAGGUUACGUGACUUGCUUGGGUCACACAGCAGAGCUGGCCUUCAGCCCGAGGGCCUCUCCCAGCCAUCAAGGGAGAAGCCCAUCCGCUGGGGGCGGGGGGCAUGGGUCCCUCAUGUCUGGACCACCAGAAGGUCUCUGGGGUCGCUGGGAUGCAUGGUGGCCCAUGGGAACACCAGAGAGACUGACUUCGUGGUGGAACCAGGGGACGAGAACACCCAGGGUGCCCAGUGAACCCAGCCCGGCAGGCCCCUGCUGUGCGUCUCAGGCAGAGCGCUGACCCUCUCUUGGGUCUAAACCUGUAAACUUCGUAGACAUUUAAAUCACUUAAUGCUUUGAGAGACGUGCUCCGACUGUCACCCCUGUUUACAGAGGAGGAAGCGGAGGUGUAGAGAGGACGGUGCCAGCCCAGCUCACAGCUGAGAAGAGCUGGAGUCAGGCCUCACCCUCGGGCCCUCUGACUCCGAGUCCCAGCUCCCCCUGUCCUCAGGGACGGGGGUUGUGUGUGCGGGACGGGCUUGCAGCCCCAAGGGGGCAGGUUUGGAGCAGCGUUUGCUUUCUUCCUUUUAGUUUUCUACGGUGUAUUUAUUUUAAAUAAGCCCUAUCAUUUCUGUGAUUGGGAAGAGACUAAAUUCACUUAGUUUGGCCCUCUCCCCCCAGAGGACCCCUUAUCGAUGGUCAAAGGGCCUAAAACAUCAAAAUCGGGUUCAUCCGCGCAGCUUCCGUCCCCAUUUGGGUGAAGCCAGUUUUCGCUGCUGGGUCCCUGCGGUCGUCCCAACACAAACCAUGAAGCGGACACCAGGUGGCAGUGCCGCCUCGGCGAGAACCAGCCCGGAGCGCGAUCCGAUCCCCGGGGCGGGUCGGAGGCGGGGCUGCCUCCGCUCCCAGAAGGGCUCCCUGACCUGGAGCUUUCUCCCCAGGGGAGGACUUGCCAGGCCUCUGGCCAUCUGGACACAGGAGGCCCAGCCUCCCUGCUUCACCCAGGCUGUGGCCACGCGAAGGUCUUACAUACAGCAGGACCCGAAACCCCGUGUGCUGGCCGACGGAGGCUGGCUUUGGGGGAAAUGUCCAAAUACAGAGGCAUCCGACCCUCUGCUGGGGGCGAUCAGAGGACCUGGCACAGCCUGUGUUCAUCAGCCCCGGACACACCGGGACUCACAGGAUCCAUGCCUCCUCCCUGGUGUGGUGCUGUGGUUUUAAUAAGAUGCCCCGAGAGGGGGUGUGCCUGUCACCACUGUCACUCCUCCGACCACUGUCCCGCUGCAGCGUUUCUCCCUGCGCUGCCAUCCCCACUGACAUGGCGCCCUGCAGAAGGCCCCCCCAGCACCCGAGCCCUCUGGGCAGACUCGCCCUUCUCCGCAUCCCCACACAGCUGUGCUGCCAGAGUCGCUGGGCGCCUUGGUGCCCGUGCCUACUGGGGCCUUGAACGGCGUGUGUUCCGCCUCUGAUCGGGGUUUGGGUGGCCCUGCCGUGGUGACAUCACCUCUUCAGGGUGUUGACACGGCCAAUCUCAAGGACCCUGGUGCCGGCAACACAGCGUCGGUCUCUGCAUCUGUCACGACAGGGCUGUGUCAGCCGCUGAAUCUCGUCUGGUCCCAGGGCAGGCCGCAGUGGGUGCUCGGCGUCCCUGAGGGAGGGGCUCUGGCAGCUCUUCCUCUGUCCUGUGUUUCACGCCAACAAUACUUGGUACUUGCGAAAGCCGUUCGUCCCUCUCCCCUGCUCAUCCCCACAACACAGAAGCCAGUCCGGUUGUUAAAGGCCCACGACUUGUCGCUGUCCCAUCGUGAGCAGACAGGGCUCACCAGCAGGAGAUGCUGAAGGGGCCUUCCUCCUAAAGCAGCCCAGAACGCUGAGCUUUGGAUACCCGGAAGAUUCCAGAAGUAGAGUGGGGAGGCACAGCCACACGUGUUACCCCGCUGCCCUGAUCUCCUUGAGCUGCAACUUGGGAGUUUAUCUUUGCUGAGUUAAGGGCCCCGAGGAAGUGAAGGCAGCUCUCCUGGGGGCCGUGGCGGGAACCCACAAAGACGAGGGCCGCUGUUCCAGAGAGGAGUGAAUGUUCGGGGCCUGAGCUGGGGCCCCUAGGAGAGCCUCCCCAGCCCAUUUGAUCAAGAUGGGGAGAUCAGAGAGACCCCAGGCCUGUGUGUCCCCUGCCUCCUGCCACUGCCCCGCAAAGGCAGGGAGCUGGCGGAGGCUGGAUCACGAAGCACACUUCGGCUUCUGUUUGCAUUCAGCCUUGUGGCUGGAGAAAAACAGGUGUCCAGGAGCCAGGUGUCACCGUGGUUAGGGCCAUGGACUCUGGGGGUCAGGAAGUCCUGAGUCUGAGUCCAGAUUCCACCUCUUCCCGCCAGCGUCCUGCCAAAGCCCCCGACCUCUCUGAGCUGAGAUGAGGCGGACCUGCCUCUGGAAAGCAGGAGCAGUGAGCCAGUCCUAGAACCUGCCCAAGGGGGCGGCCGCAGGGCCUGCACGUGGCGCCUCCUGAGCACUCGCCUGGGCCUGCUUGCCUGGGCUCCAAGCUCUGCUUCGUAGAGUCACCAGCUGGCUGGGAAGCUGGGCAGGAGGGGGCAGCAGAGGCCACAACGAGAUGCCUUCCGCGGGGGUUUCUCAGGAGCCUAGAGUUCCUUGGAGGAGGGACUCUGAACUCAGCCCCCAUCAGGACCAGCAGGCGUGAAGGAGCCCUUGAGCGCAGGGGUCUUCUGGCCUGGGGGUUAGGAGAUGGGGGCAUGGGUCCAUAUCGGAACCCCAGGCUCAACCCCGUGUGUCACAUUUCCCGCGUUGAAGCCCAGCGGGAAGUCUUCCUUCUCCUGGGAAGGAGGGAAGGGCCAGGUUGGUCAUGUUGGAAGUUGGGCGCCCCAGUGGUUCCCGGGCUGGAUGCUCCAAUCCCUGAACAGUCAGCCUGGUGAAACAGGGGUGCUUGCCCCGUGUUUGCCGUCCGCCCCCACACUGCAGGUGGGGAGGAUGAGAAGUGCCUGGGUCUCGUGGUCAUUCCUGUCCGGGCACCUGGGCCUAAGCUGUCUCUUGCUUCUCUCAAGUGUCCCCUCACUGACCACUGCCUGCGUAGGUCAGCAGGACUUUCCUAGAGGUGAGGAGGACAGAGGCCUGGAGGUGACAUGGCCUGCCCAGGGCAGGUGGUGGCGGAGCCAAGACUCUAGCUCCAUCUUUGCACUACCUCCUGGAGAGCUGCGGGCAGGCAGUCAGCCCUCCAGCCCCAAAGGGGAAAGAAAAUAUCCAGACAGAGUGGGCCUCGCCGGCCAGGCUCCUUCCCAUCAGAAGCGCACACCCUGACCCUGCCUGGUCACAGGGCCUGCAGUUCCAGUCCGCUGAGGGCUGGGGAGCCUGGACACUGCACCAGGCGCCGCCGCGCUCUGGGGCGGCCGUGGCCGGCAGCCAGGUUCGGCUGUGUCCAGGGCGUCGGCCCCACGCAGAGAACCUUGCCUCCCAGGGACGCGUACUCCACAAACAGAAACCCUAUCCCGUGGGUCCUGCCCACCUCCUGGCCUGUGAUUUUGGAGGGCACUCAGACCCCUGAGGUGUCUUGACUGCAUUGUUCCGGGACAGACUCCCUGGACACGUGCUCGGACCUUUUGGGUUAAGUCGAUGGAGAAUGCCCCGGGCUAGAACAAGACCCCUGGCUGUACCCACUCGAGAGCCUUUGUAUUUUAAGCCGGUAACUUGCACAAGCUGUGCAGGCUUUUGUGUUGGCAGCUGGGGUGGUGGAAGCUUCGUCCUAAGGUCCCUGUGUGAGCCCGGCUCGACCCGAGUGAGUGCCGUCUUGCGUCUUUCGGGCCCUGGUGCAGCAGCGGCGAGCGGGGGCGCCACAAAAUCUUGGUCUCGGGUGUGGCAGCGGCAAAUAUGCCUAAAGCCUCUGGCCCUUUGGAGCUGGCCUGGAGCCAGCCUCUCCUGCUCGCAGGGAAGGCUGAACUUUGCUCUCGGCGUCCCCAGACCCCAGGCCUGUCCUAAGGCAAAACUCAGGCCCAUCUCUGGGCCACCGGGCCGGUUUUCCUACACAGGCCCCUCUGGGUACCUCCCACCCAGCCUGGCUGGGACUGGGGUGCGCUGGGAGAUCCUGCUGAAGUGGAGGCGUCUCUGGGACGCAGCCGCCCCGACUCUGGUCCCGUGGCGCCAAAGCCACGCAUCGCCAGGGCUCACGGAGGCCUCUGGCGCGCCAAGGGCUAAGGGAGUGGGCGUGGGACUGCAGACGCCACUCGAGGAGCCCAGGGAGCCCGCCGGCCGGGCUGGCGUUGGAUUUCUCGUCAUCAGCCCCGCUUCUCCAGAGCCUCCUUCCUAAUUGUGGCCCCGGCUCCAAUGGGGGAAGGGCCGCAGGGUCCCCCUCCUGCCGGCGGGGCUCGUCUGGACACUGGCUCAGCGUCCCUGUGCUGGAGGCCUGGACGUGUCUUCUGGCCUUGUCCCGGGCACCGGCGUGAGGCAGGGUUUGUGGCGAGGUGGCCUCUGCCCCAGAGGACAGGGGCUCCCCCACCCUCGGAGAAGCUGCUCCCCGCACGCGGCCCGAGAGACCCCAGGGGCCGAGUCGCAACUUUUUCCUGUGCCCUUUAUCUCGAUUUCAUAGACAGCUGUUCGUUUGGGGCAUUAAUUGCCUGGGCGAGUUUAUUGAUAAUUUUGAUGUAACAGAGCACCGGAGAAAUUACCCUCACGUCCCAGAUGUCAGAUUUGAGAAGAACCAGGUUCAGGGGCUCGCGACCCUGCGACGCGGAGACACCGCGGGGGGUCCGAAGGGCCGCCUGGAGAGGUGGCUCUGCUGUGUUUGUUUUCCUAGGUAGCGGGAGUGGAGUAGGAAGAGGGUCGGUGGGGAGACAGACUCUAGAGUGGAUGUGGGGAAAGGCACGCCGAUUGGAAGCACGCCCGUCGCCUCGCGCUCCCCCGACAGCCUUUCUCUUGCUCAAAUUUUACUCGCUUCCCCAUUGAGGACGCCAAGUACAGGGCACACACACACACAACAUCUACCAAAAACCCUAAACAGAACCCAAACCUUAAGAGAUGCUCCUUGAUUUAUAACAGCGGGAAUAUGGAAAUAGAAAAGUCUGAAUCCAAAGUAAAAUUCUUACUGGUCUUGGAGUGGCCCCCAAAAAAGUUUUAAAACGUACAUAUAUAUCCGUAUACACACACACAUAUCCACGGUUUUCCCAGGGGGAGGGAGGACUUCAGUUUUUCUUUAAACAUUUGAUUAUUUCUUUAAAACAAUAAAUGACAUUUAGGGGGGCAGAGGGCUCGUCUUCAAAAACAGAAGCCAAGAAAAAUAGUUACUCUUGUCUAGAUUUCACUUCCACGGGAACUGAGGAGUGAAAAGAGGAGGAUUCGCCCACAAGUAACAAAGAAAAAGAAGAAAGUGCUAAGAGCUACCCAUACUUUAAAU